CAGUAUUUUCCGGAGGCCGUAUUUCCUGACUCGGUUCCUUCCCGCGCUGCUCACUCCGAGAGUGCUUCCUGUGAAAGUCGAUGCUCGAAUGAGUUUCAUCGAAGCGCUGAAAAAAGCUGAUAAGAUCCCUGCUGCACAGUAUUCAUCCUACAUGGAGUCCUGCCAGAAGCAGAGACAACAGAAUAUGAAUGCCACGUGUUCAGACGGCAGUGAUGAGCCCCUGGAGGUCCUGAAGAUUCAGCUGCAGGAGUUUGCAGAACUUGUCGUUGAUGGAAAUGAUGGAG